AUGCGCGGUGAGUUCAAUGGAUUGAAAGCCAAAAUUCUGGAAGAGAAUAGGUCAGCAUAUUAUGUGCAUUGUUUUGCUCACCAACUUCAAUUGGUUAUAGUGGCGAUUUCAAAGAAGAAUGAAGAUAUUGCGGAUUUCUUUUAUAUGAUCUCUCUUCUAUUUAAUGUGGUCGGAGCUUUUUGCAAAAGAAAAGACAUGAUCAGAGAGAGUAACCGAGAAAAUGUAAAAGAAUCCAUAAGUAGUGGACGAAUUAGUACUGGCACAGGGCUAAAUCAAGACCAAUCACUUCAAAGGGCUGGAGACACCCGUUGGGGUUCUCACUAUAGAACCCUCUCAAGCUUAAUCCAGUUGUUCCCAUCAAUUGUUAGUGUCUUGAAUUAUGUAGCAAAAGAAGGCAAGAAGGAUUCCAAGAAAAGUGAAGCACGUGGCCUUCUAUCAUAUUUUGGAACCUUUGAUUUUGUGUUCUAUUUGCACAUGAUGUUCCAUAUAUUAGGGAGUGCCAAUACUUUGUCACAUGCAUUGCAACAAAAGGAUCAAGAUAUCUUGAAUGCCAUGUCAUGUGUGAAGUCAACACGGAAUGAUCUACAACAACUAAGAGAUGAUGGAUGGGAAUCACUUCUAGAGAAGACAAUGUCCGAGCGGACCAAAGAUUUGCCAAUUUGGAUGGCAUUGCCGAUCUUGCUAAAGUAUUGGUGGAAACUAAAAAGCAUAUUGCUUUUUCUUUGGUGUAUCAACUUCUCAAGUUGGUGCUAA
rnacentral:rRNA from 1 species